UACGUAGGGUCCGAGCGUUGUCCGGAAUUAUUGGGCGUAAAGGGCUCGUAGGCGGUUUGUCGCGUCGGGAGUGAAAACACCGGGCUUAACUCGGUGCUUGCUUUCGAUACGGGCAGACUGGAGGCAUGCAGGGGAGAACGGAAUUCCUGGUGUAGCGGUGAAAUGCGCAGAUAUCAGGAGGAACACCGGUGGCGAAGGCGGAUCUCUGGGCCAUUACUGACGCUGAGGAGCGAAAGCGUGGGGAGCAAACAGG
rnacentral:rRNA from 1 species